GACGAACGCUGGCGGCGUGCUUAACACAUGCAAGUCGAACGGUGAUGCUCCAGCUUGCUGGAGUGGAUCAGUGGCGAACGGGUGAGUAACACGUGAGCAACCUGCCCCAUACUCUGGAAUAAGCGCUGGAAACGGCGUCUAAUACUGGAUACGAAACUGGCCCGCAUGGGCAUGGUUUGGAAAGUUUUUCGGUUUGGGAUGGUCUCGCGGCCUAUCAGCUUGUUUGUGAGGUAAUGGCUCACCAAGGCGACGACGGGUAGCCGGCCUGAGAGGGCGACCGGCCACACUGGGACUGAGACACGGCCCAGACUCCUACGGGAGGCAGCAGUGGGGAAUAUUGCACAAUGGGCGAAAGCCUGAUGCAGCGACGCCGCGUGAGGGAUGACGGCCUUCGGGUUGUAAACCUCUUUCAGCAGGGAAGAAGCGAAAGUGACGGUACCUGCAGAAGAAGCACCGGCUAACUACGUG
rnacentral:rRNA from 1 species